rnacentral:sRNA from 1 species
AUGAUUAUGUGCUAAUACUUCAAUUGGUGUAUUAGGGAUUCCCUAAAUCAAAAAGUUUUAAAUUUUGACGGUAAAGAAGAAACUAACUAACCGUUUCGAUCUCUAUAAAAAGCUAAUAAAA